GUUCUUAUGAACUUUGCAAAAUUUUCUUGAAAGUGUUAUUUUUAAAACUUUUACACCUUCAAUGAAAGCUGGACUCAAUAAAAUUAAAAUAUAAUUUACGAUUAAUUCAUUUUGUAAUUCUUAUUGCAUUGAUAAUGUGCAAAUUUUUCAGAUUUACUGAUUUCCAAGAAAAUGACUUUCAUUCCUUGUUUUAUAUUCAUCGAUUCAUCUAGAAAAUUUAUUUUUCAUGUAUGGAAAUCAUUUCAAUGUAAAUAAGUCAUCAGCAUUUUACUUUCGCUUUAAAUAAGUCAUCAGCAUUUUACUUUCACUUUAAAUGCAAUUGUUCUGCGUGUUUUUUUCCUAUAAUUAUUGACACAAGCCUUAUAUAUGGGUCUGUUUGGUGCGUGAGAUUUGUUCGUUUAUAAUGUGGUCAUAUCUUUAUAUUAUGUAGAAAGACAUCAAACACAUGUGAUUGUGAACGUUGGCCAUUUCCACCAACACCGAGGGUAUCUAUAUCGAUCGAUGUAUCAUUGAGUGUUUUGUCGUUUUGAAUCUCAUGCUUGCAUGUCAGUAUGUAAUGUGAUAUGUCUGUCUGAUAAACAAAAUUUUCACUAUUUUGAAGUGUCCAGAGUAUCGUGAAUGGACAUAGACUGAUGUAGUAAGAUGAACAGUUGUGAGUUUACACAUUGAGAACUUGAUUUUGGUGGGGUACAUGAAAAUUAUUACUUACCUGUACAGGUGUGUUUGUGAUAUGAAUGUAUAUAGAUAUUAAUAUGUAUGAAUGACUUUGUUUGUUUUAACUUCAAAAAACCAUAAAAUAAAUUAAUGCUAAUU
rnacentral:misc_RNA from 1 species